GCAUCACAUUGCUCGGCUUGAUGUCGCGGUGAACCACGCAUUGCUGCCCCUCCUCGUGCAGAUAGAAGAGCGCCGAGGCCAAGCCCAUCGCGAUCCUGUGCCGCGCCGGCCACUGUAGAAACUUCGCCUUGCUGUAUAGAGUCGAGUUGAAGGACCAUGAUAGAAUGGUAUGCGUCUCGGUGAAGUUACCAGUGGCUGCGGAGAAGCCUACUGUUACAAGUUCUGGUCAAGAAGAGGCUCAAGUUGUGGGUGAUGGAAUCAUAAUUCACCCGUGCAUUACCGAUUCUGUGUUCCCUGAUGCUACUGUUCCAAGGAACGUAUGUUGAAGAGUUGAUUGAAUUUAUGUCAAUGCCAAGAUGUUCACCCUUGGGAUCCCAUUCAUAGUUGCUGAAGGUGUCAAACUCCACAGCCACCGUUUUACUGGUUUGAUUGAGGAUUGUGGUGUUGGAGUAAAGGCCAAGGUAGCCACCUUUAGCAUAUAAGGGCAACGUGGCAGGGUAUGGUGCGAGUAAGAAGGCAAAACCAUCGGCAUAGUUUGUCUCAUGGGAGUCGAUGAUGAAGGAGAAUUGUGUGGUGAAGUUAGUGAGUUCUUUUGUUUUGUUGUUCCAGAGAUGAAGGGGGUCUUUAUAGGUUGCUCUACUAGCGCUCGCCAAAUUGGCACCUUCCUUGGUGAGCAUUAUGGUGGAGCCAUUAAUGACUGCAUCACCUUCAAAUGUGAUCUUUGAAGUCCCAUCGAAGCUAGGGAAGUUGAAGGAGAGCGAGGUUGCCAAGGGUAUUAUUAUUGACAAGAAAACAGGAAUCUUUGCCUUUUGAUUUGAACACACAGCACCAAAAAGGAUGACAGUGCAUGACAAUGUCUCACAUGUCUAUAUCUCAACAACAAGUGGAUAAGUGAUGUCUGUUCUCUGCCAGAAACUUAAAGGCCAUACAUACAAAAGGGUCGGCAGGGGAAAAAACAAAGAAGAAGAAAAGCUGUUUGGUUAUAGACACGAAUUGGAAUUUAGCAGACAUCUGGAAUUGGUGGAAGGUAAUGCUUAACCUUUCUCCCUUUAUAUAUAUUUUCAUAUUUUUUUAUCUGAAUAUUUCUGGAAAAUAGCCAGUAGACUAACCUCAUUGUCUGAAGGUUUAAUUCUUUCUAGUUGACAUGAACUAAAAGUGGUUACUAUAGUUAAAUGAGUUCCUUUGGACUUAAAUGUGGGUAGUUUUGCCCACUACAUUUAUUGGGGCAAAAGAAUAGGAGAGAGCUAUGGUGAAGAUAGAAUACCAAAUGUAACUAACCGGGUCGACAAGAUGCCAACACUAGAACCAUGUGCCAACUAUCCCAACUGCCUCGUAGGGAAAUAGAGAAAAGGAUGAAAGGGAUGGGAUGAUCACUUCGAGAGGAUUGACCUCCCAUAAUCAAAGUAAUUUGAUUAUUUAAUUGAAUCACUUUGUUUAUCAUAUAAGUUUACAUAAUGACUUUCUGUAUAGCCAUAUAAUAAUGUCAAAGCAAUAUAAAAAUUGUUAGCAAGUAUAAUAACCUAUUCUAAUAUGGAUAAUAUUUUGAAGAAGUUAUUUGAAUAUGUAUAUUUGGGAAUUGUAUCGCAACACAAAUCUCACUUCAGACCAACAGAAAGUUUACUUAUGGACGUUACUCAAUCUCACUUCAGACACCUUGGUCUAGGCUUUUCGCGGCCGCAAACACCUCGUCCAAACCUGGCCGACCAAAUAGACUUUCAAUAACCUGGCCGAUCGGGGAUACGAAUAUUAGCACAGAUCAUAUGGACAUGUAACUCAUUAUUCAAGCAACUAUUCAAAGUUCCUAGAGCUCUUUCGGAAAUAUAAUUCAUUAUCCAAGCAACUAUUCAAAGUUCCUAGAGCUCCUUGUAAAGCUUGUUGGAAAAUUCGUUGUCGGGCCUGAUUAAUCGCUUUUCUUUGUUCAAAAUGAAAUGUUUCAUUUUUGUAAUUUUCUAAUUGUUCUAAAUUAUCACUAGUGGCAUUAAUUAAAUUUACUUUUUCUCAUUCUAUUUUAUCCAUUCAUUACCGGGAUACAGACAGUUGGGCUGAACUCUAUUGUUAGCUCCCUCUAACCAAACCCUACCUCAGAUCUGCUUUGGCCACGUGUAAUCAAACUAAAAGCAUCAAAUCGAUGACUACAAGCCUUACUAAUAUUCAACUUGUUUAACGGUGUUUAUGGAAAUGCUGUUUAUUAAAUUUCUUACCCUAAUUGUCAAGGACAUGAGCACAUGCCAAUUCUAUUUUUACUUUUCUAAAGAAUUCUUUUCCAUUGUAAUGGUCUUCGUGGAAUUCAAUAUAUUCUUAAUUGAAUC